GAUGAACGCUGGCGGCGUGCCUAAUACAUGCAAGUCGAACGCGAGCACUUGUGCUCGAGUGGCGAACGGGUGAGUAAUACAUAAGUAACCUGCCCUAGACAGGGGGAUAACUAUUGGAAACGAUAGCUAAGACCGCAUAGGUACGGACACUGCAUGGUGACCGUAUUAAAAGUGCCUCAAAGCACUGGUAGAGGAUGGACUUAUGGCGCAUUAGCUGGUUGGCGGGGUAACGGCCACCAAGGCGAUUAUGGGUAGCCGGGUUGAGAGACCGACCGGCCAGAUUGGGACUGAGACACGGCCCAG
rnacentral:rRNA from 1 species